CCUACGUGAGGCUGCAGUGGGGAAUAUUGCGCAAUGGGCGAAAGCCUGACGCAGCGACGCCGCGUGAGGGAUGAAGGUCUUCGGAUCGUAAACCUCUGUCAGCAGGGAAGAACGGUCACUGUGCUAAUCAGCAGUGAAUUGCCGGUACCUGCAAAGGAAGCACCGGCUAACUCCGUGCCAGCAGCCGUGGUAAUACGGAGGGUGCGAGCGUUAAUCGGAAUUACUGGGCGUAAAGCGCUCGUAGGCGGUAUGUCAAGUCAAGGGUGAAAUCCCCGCGCUCAACGUGGGAACUGCCUUUGAAACUGGCAAACUGGAGUGUGUGAGAGGAUAGUGGAAUUCCAGGUGUAGGAGUGAAAUCCGUAGAUAUCUGGAGGAACAUCAGUGGCGAAGGCGACUAUCUGGCACAUAACUGACGCUGAGGAGCGAAAGCGUGGGUAGCAAACAGGAUUAGAUACCCCAGUAGUC
rnacentral:rRNA from 1 species